rnacentral:rRNA from 1 species
AGUGAACGCUGGCGGUAGGCCUAACACAUGCAAGUCGAACGGCAGCACCGUAAUAGCUUGCUCUUACGGGUGGCGAGUGGCGUACGUGUGAGGAAUACAUCGUAAUCUACUUUUUCGUGUGGGAUAACGUAGGUAAACUUACGCUAAUACCGCAUACGACCUUCGGGUGAAAGCAGGGGAUCUUCUGACCUUUCGCGAUUGAAUUAGCCGAUGUCGGAGUUGAUAGUUGGCGGGGUAAAGGCCCACCAAGGCGACGAUCCGUAGCUGGUCUGAGAGGCUGAUCGGCCACACUGGAACUGAGACACGGUCAAGAGGCCUACGGGAGGCAGCAGAGGGGAAUGUUGGGCAGUGGGCGCAAGCCUGACACAGCGAUCCCGAGUGGGAGAAGAAGGCGUUCGGGUUGUAAAGACCUUUUGUUGGGAAAGAAAAGCAGCAGGCUAAUACCCCGCUGUUCUGACGGUAACCAAUAAAGAAGCACCGGCUAACUUCGUG